rnacentral:rRNA from 1 species
AUUGAACGCUGGCGGCAGGCCUAACACAUGCAAGUCGAACGGUAACAGGAAGCAGCUUGCUGCCUUGCUGACGAGUGGCGGACGGGUGAGUAAUGUCUGGGAAACUGCCCGAUGGAGGGGGAUAACUACUGGAAACGGUAGCUAAUACCGCAUAACGUCGCAAGACCAAAGAGGGGGACCUUAGGGCCUCUUGCCAUCGGAUGUGCCCAGAUGGGAUUAGCUAGUAGGUGGGGUAACGGCUCACCUAGGCGACGAUCCCUAGCUGGUCUGAGAGGAUGACCAGCCACACUGGAACUGAGACACGGUCCAGACUCCUACGGGAGGCAGCAGUGGGGAAUAUUGCACAAUGGGCGCAAGCCUGAUGCAGCCAUGCCGCGUGUAUGAAGAAGGCCUUCGGGUUGUAAAGUACUUUCAGCGGGGAGGAAGGGAGUAAAGUUAAUACCUUUGCUCAUUGACGUUACCCGCAGAAGAAGCACCGGCUAACUCCGUG